rnacentral:rRNA from 1 species
UACGGGGGGGGCAAGCGUUGUUCGGAAUUACUGGGCGUAAAGGGCCAGUAGGCGGCCAACUAAGUCGGAUGUGAAAUCCCCAGGCUUAACCUGGGAAACUGCAUCCGAUACUGGAUGGCUUGAAUUCGGGAGAGGGAUGGCAGAAGUUCCUGGUGUAGCGGUGAAAUGCGCAGAUAUCAGGAGGAACACCGGUGGCGAAGGCGGGUCUCUGGGCCGAUACUGACGCUGGAGGAGCGAAAGCGUGGGGAGCAAACAGG